UUUGACCCCUUGGUCCAUUUGAUUCUUGAUGUUGUUUUUGAGUAUUAUUGGAUGAUCGGAUCAUCUCCUGUGAUAGUUUUUUUUUGCUCUUUGUUUAGCUGCAAGAUUGAAGUAAUUGAGCUCUAUUUUCUGCUUCCUAUUGUUCUUUUUCUAGCACUAGAUUAGUUGAGAGUUCUUUACAUUUUCUUAUAAUCUAGUUGAUCCAUGAGCUUAUGUGCUUCUCUUUGUUAGUCUAGACCUAUUUUCUUGUUUUGUUCAAAUCCAAAAAUCUUUGAUCGUACUA
rnacentral:lncRNA from 1 species